UACGUAGGGUGCGAGCGUUGUCCGGAAUUAUUGGGCGUAAAGAGCUCGUAGGCGGUGUGUCGCGUCGGCCGUGAAAACCUGGGGCUUAACUCUGGGCGUGCGGUCGAUACGGGCAUCACUAGAGUUCGGCAGGGGAGACUGGAAUUCCUGGUGUAGCGGUGAAAUGCGCAGAUAUCAGGAGGAACACCGAUGGCGAAGGCAGGUCUCUGGGCAUUAACUGACGCUGAGGAGCGAAAGCAUGGGGAGCGAACAGG
rnacentral:rRNA from 1 species